rnacentral:rRNA from 1 species
UACGGAGGGUGCAAGCGUUAUCCGGAUUCACUGGGUUAAAGGGUGCGUAGGUGGGCAAGUAAGUCAGUGGUGAAAUCUCCGGGCUUAACCCGGAAACUGCCAUUGAUACUAUUUGUCUUGAAUACUGUGGAGGUCAGCGGAAUAUGUCAUGUAGCGGUGAAAUGCUUAGAUAUGACAUAGAACACCAAUUGCGAAGGCAGCUGGCUACACAAAUAUUGACACUGAGGCACGAAAGCGUGGGAUCAAACAGG